rnacentral:rRNA from 1 species
UACAGAGGGCUCAAGCGUUGUUCGGAAUCACUGGGCGUAAAGGGUGCGUAGGCCGCCCGGUAAGUCAGAGGUGAAAUCCCGGAGCUCAACUCCGGAAUUGCCUCCGAUACUGCCGUGCUUGAGGACUGGAGAGGAGAUUGGAAUUCACAGUGGAGCAGUGAAAUGCGUAGAUAUUGUGAGGAACACGAGUGGCGAAGGCGAAUCUCUGGACAGUUCCUGACGCUGAGGCACGAAGGCCAGGGGAGCAAACGGG